AUUGAACGCUGGCGGCAGGCCUAACACAUGCAAGUCGAACGAGUGGCGGACGGGUGAGUAAUGUCUGGGAAACUGCCCGAUGGAGGGGGAUAACUACUGUAAACGGUAGCUAAUACCGCAUACGAUCGGCUGUGGCCCGAGGGGAUUAGCUAGUAGGUGGGGUAAUGGCUCACCUAGGCGACGCUCCCUAGCUGGUCUGCGAGGAUGACCCGCCACACUGGAACUGAGACACGGUCCAGACGCCUACGGGAGGCAGAAGUGGGGAAUAUUGCCCAAUGGGCGGAAGCCUGAUGAAGCCAUGCCGCGUGUAUGAAGAAGGCCUUCGGGGUGUAAAGUACUUUCAGCGAGGAGGCGUUACUCGCAGAAGAAGCACCGGCUAACUCCGUGCCAGCAGCCGCGGUAAUUC
rnacentral:rRNA from 1 species